GGAGGGGUGGCCGAGUGGCUGAAGGCGACGGUUUGCUAAACCGUUAUAGGUGUUAAAGCCUAUCGAGGGUUCGAAUCCCUUCCCCUCCG
rnacentral:tRNA from 2 species